rnacentral:tRNA from 1 species
CACCGCGUUGGAUCAGGACUUCGCGCUCGUCGUCUACAACGUGACGUCCUCCGCGUGUUCCGCGGGUGCGGCUCCCACGGGGGUGA